UACGUAGGGGGCUAGCGUUGUCCGGAAUCAUUGGGCGUAAAGCGCGCGUAGGCGGCCCGGUAAGUCCGUUGUGAAAGUCAAAGGCUCAACCUUUGAAAGCCGAUGGAUACUGCCGGGCUGGAGUCCGGAAGAGGCGAGUGGAAUUCCUGGUGUAGCGGUGGAAUGCGCAGAUAUCAGGAGGAACACCAAUAGCGAAGGCAGUGGUCUGGGCCGAUACUGACGCUGAGGAGCGAAAGCGUGGGGAGCGAACAGG
rnacentral:rRNA from 1 species